rnacentral:rRNA from 1 species
UACGUAGGUGGCAAGCGUUGUCCGGAUUUACUGGGCGUAAAGGGAGCGUAGGUGGAUGUUUAAGUGGGAUGUGAAAUUUUCGGGCUCAACCCGGAACCUGCAUUCCAAACUGGAUAUCUAGAGUACAGGAGAGGAAAGGAGAAUUCCUAGUGUAGCGGUGAAAUGCGUAGAGAUUAGGAAGAAUACCAGUGGCGAAGGCGCCUUUCUGGACUGUAACUGACACUGAGGCUCGAAAGCGUGGGGAGCAAACAGG